rfam:Ornithorhynchus anatinus chromosome 4, whole genome shotgun sequence.
CCUCUCUCAGGGUCGCACCUGGAGAGUUUCCGGUGCUCUACCAGUCUCGACUACGGGGAGAGUCGAGCAGAGGCCUGUCCAUUCCAUUCCUAGCUUGGCCAGUGGCUGGUGAGUGGGAGAUAAUCUGCUACAAAU